rnacentral:rRNA from 1 species
AGCGAACGCUGGCGGCAGGCCUAACACAUGCAAGUCGAGCGCCCAGCAAUGGGAGCGGCAGACGGGAUAGUAACACGUGGGAACGUACCCUUCAGUUCGGAACAACCCAGGGAAACUUGGGCUAAUACCGAAUACGUCCGUAAGGAGAAAGAUUUAUCGCUGAAGGAUCGGCCCGCGUCUGAUUAGCUAGUUGGUGAGGUAACGGCUCACCAAGGCGACGAUCAGUAGCUGGUCNGAGAGGAUGAUCAGCAUCACUGGGACUGAGACACGGCCCAGACUCCUACGGGAGGCAGCAGUGGGGAAUAUUGGACAAUGGGCGCAAGCCUGAUCCAGCCAUGCCGCGUGGAUGAUGAAGGCCCUAGGGUUGUAAAGUCCUUUCGACGGGGAAGAUAAUGACGGUACCCGUAGAAGAACGCCCCGGCUAACUUCGUGCCAGC